UGGUGGAGUGAUUUGUCUGGUUAAUUCCGAUAACGAACGAGACUCUGUCCUGCUAACUAGGUUGUGUUUUCUCGGGUUGGUGUUUCUGGUGUUCCUUCUCGGGGCGCCGGCCCAAUCCACUUGUGAACACAACACCCUUCUUAGAGGGACUGGCGGCUGUUAGCCGCACGAGAUAGAGCAAUAACA
rnacentral:rRNA from 1 species